AGUAAUUCAAAUAGCCACACAUUACAACAGUGGUGUGCAGAAGAGCAUCUCUGAAUGCACAACACAGUGAACCUACAGCAGCAGAAGACUAUGGCCAUACACUCAGCUGCCACUUUAUUAGGUACAGGAGGUAUCUAAUAAAGUAGCCACUGAGUAUAUAUUUCAUUAUUGAAAGUGGUUCUCCCUUGUUUGUUCUAUCAUUCCACGGAAGCAUCGUUAUACUGUUUUCUAUUUUUUCUUAAGAAAAGGAAAGACUUGCAUCUUUUGGGUCCUUACUGAGUCCUUUUGGGUUCUUGGGUCUAUUUUUUCUUAUGAAAAGGGAAGACUUGCAUCUUUUGGGUCCUUACUGAACUUUUGAAGUUCAGUUACUGUUACAAUGAGGAGCCAAUUUACCAACAGUCAGUUCUCUACAUAACCGGGUUAAUAAUGUUUCAUUUUAGGAAAGGUAGUUGAGGCAAAUACUGGCCAGAUAAUCCUUCCAGUCAUCUUCAGAAUAGUGCCCUGGGACCUUUUACAUCCACUUGAGAGUUUAACACAUGAUCUUGCUUUAAGAUUGCAGUGUCACCUCAAACUUCUGUUUUCAAGUGUCUGGAUCAUAUAACCAUGCAGACAUACAGCGCAGAAAUCACGUGCAUACUGGGGCAAACCAGGCUGCAUCUAAAUGGAGCAAGCAAAGCCAUGAGUUGGCUAGUUUUGAUUUGUGGGGACUGUUCCAACUUGGUUGUGGCUCAGGAAAGGGAAAUAUCUUUCCCUCUCUUGACCCACUACCUCAAUAUUUUGCUCCUUUUUUGCAAUAUUUAUUUAUUAUAUACUGUAUUCUCUUUUUUUUUUACACAUUUCACAGUCUUGCUGUUGCAAAACAACAAAUUUCAUGACCUGUGUCUGUGAUAAUAAGACAUAGGAGCAGAAUUAUGCCAUUUGGCCCUUUGAAUCUUCUCCACCAUUCCGUGGCUGAUUCAUCAUCCCUCACAACCCCAAUCUCCUGGUAAUAAGCCUGAUUCUUAUUCUGAAGCCGCUGGUGUCCCGGCUCAAUGUUGCCAGCUUAAAUGUGACCCGAGCUUAACAAAAUUAGCACAUUUCUGGAUAAUAAAUGAGGUAUUUAUUUUCACUUUGUUUCUGCUGCCUGGAUAUCGUCAAGGUUCCUUCAAAAAUCGUGGCUGGCCCUGACAUGGCAAAUGCCAUUGGCAGGGUUUGAGGAGUAGAGAAGGAGGCAGGACGCUCUUUAUGCCGGGUGGUCAAGGUUAUCCUAGCUCAUUGCGUCCCCCUAGUUGUUAUGUUUCAUAAGCUGUUUGCACAUCUUGCAGACUUGGUUCUUUAAUGUUUUUGGAGCAGUUUUUACAGAAAAUGUUGACAGCAGAGUAAGAGAUGUCUGAAGCUGAAAUCUUGGUUUAGAUCAUCUGAACAUCUCUUGCCUCAGAUCUGCUCGAUAUUGACAGCAUUGGCUUCGACACAUGGAACGUUAAUUCUGAAAAUGGAGAUAAAAUCUAUCGGCUAUGUGAUUGAAUACAGACCCAGAGCCAUCAAACACUCUUCGUAUGACAAGCAGUAUAGUCCUGGAAUCAUUUUCGUGAACCUCCUUUGAACCCUCUCCAGUUUCAGCACAUCCUUUUUAAGAAUCAGGAAGGAUGUUUUCCGCGGUCUUUUGUCAGUGAGAGAUGAAGAGGGAAGAUGCGUGUGGAGAGAGCUGGUAGACCACCGGAUGGAGUGGACAGGAAUCUGAGGGUCCGAAGGUCAGCGACGCUCGGAGGAGACCAAUGGUGGAAGAAUGAUGACUGAUGUGAACACUCUAUGAAAGACGCAGUGUGGGCCCUGAACAACAGCAGACAAAUCAAGCCCUGGACAGAGUCCAGCCAUGAAUGGGACCCGCUGUCAGCGCCUCACGACCAGCCACUGUUUGAUAUCCCAAGGAUGCGGCCUGGAAGACGAGCGCAUCUUCAGGGUUCCAGGAUUUCGUGGCUCUGGGGGCAUGCUGAUUCUAGGCCGGAGCCCCUGACUGAAGUGUCGCGGGAGAACACGGAACAUCGGGAGCAGGGGCUUAGCCGCUGGGGGUUGUGUGCCCGGAGAGCAGCGCUUAUUUGGUGUCGACUCUCUGGGUGCAGAGCUUGUAAAAAGCGACGCAACAGGCCUUUAACAUUGUAAGUUAGCGAGUUCUUCGUUAUGUCUCCCCUCUCGCUGUGAAACGGGGACACCUCUUUUUCCCUUAUUAGGGAGAGAGUGCCUGUGGUAUGUCGAAUUAUCAGGUGAAUGUGUGGUUUUUGGGUACUGCAAGUCUGUGUCUUCAAUAAUGCUUUGUUGCAUGCUUGAGUGCUUAGUGGA